GAUGAACGCUGGCGGCGUGCCUAAUACAUGCAAGUCGAGCGAACAGACGAGGAGCUUGCUCCUCUGACGUUAGCGGCGGACGGGUGAGUAACACGUGGAUAACCUACCUAUAAGACUGGGAUAACUUCGGGAAACCGGAGCUAGUACCGGAUAAUAUAUUGAACCGCAUGGUUCAAUAGUGAAAGACGGUUUUGCUGUCACUUAUAGAUGGAUCCGCGCCGCAUUAGCUAGUUGGUAAGGUAACGGCUUACCAAGGCAACGAUGCGUAGCCGACCUGAGAGGGUGAUCGGCCACACUGGAACUGAGACACGGUCCAGACUCCUACGGGAGGCAGCAGUAGGGAAUCUUCCGCAAAGGGCGAAAGCCUGACGGAGCAGCGCCGCGUGAGUGAUGAAGGUCUUCGGAUCGUAAAACUCUGUUAUUAGGGAAGAACAAAUGUGUAAGUAACUAUGCACGUCUUGACGGUACCUAAUCAGAAAGCCACGGCUAACUACGUG
rnacentral:rRNA from 1 species